UACGAAGGGGGGCUAGCGUUGUUCGGAAUUACUGGGCGUAAAAGGGCGCGUAGGCGGCCCACCAAGUCAGAUGUGAAAAGCCCCCGGGCUUAACCUGGGAAUAGCAUUUGAGACUGAUGGGGCUUGAGUUCCGGAGAGGUGGGUGGAAUUCCCAGUGUAGAGGGUGAAAAUUCGUAGAUAUUGGGAAGAACACCGGUGGCGAAGGCGGCCCACUGGACGGACACUGACGCUGAGGCGCGAAAAGCGUGGGG
rnacentral:rRNA from 1 species